UUCCAGACUCCUACGGGAGGCAGCAGUGGGGAAUAUUGCACAAUGGGGGAAACCCUGAUGCAGCGACGCCGCGUGAGUGAAGAAGUAUUUCGGUAUGUAAAGCUCUAUCAGCAGGGAAGAAAAUGACGGUACCUGACUAAGAAGCCCCGGCUAACUACGUGCCAGCAGCCGCGGUAAUACGUAGGGGGCAAGCGUUAUCCGGAUUUACUGGGUGUAAAGGGAGCGUAGACGGUGAUGCAAGUCAGAAGUGAAAGCCCGGGGCUCAACGCCGGGACUGCUUUUGAAACUGUGUAACUGGAGUGCAGGAGAGGUAAGCGGAAUUCCUAGUGUAGCGGUGAAAUGCGUAGAUAUUAGGAGGAACACCAGUGGCGAAGGCGGCCUGCUGGACGUUAACUGACGCUGAGGCUCGAAAGCGUGGGGAGCAAACAGGAUUAGAUACCCGAGUAACC
rnacentral:rRNA from 1 species